CAGUCGCCGCGGGAAUACGGAGGAUCCAAGCGUUAUCCGGAAUCAUUGGGUUUAAAGGGUCCGUAGGCGGUCUUGUAAGUCAGUGGUGAAAGCCCAUCGCUCAACGGUGGAACGGCCAUUGAUACUGCAGGACUUGAAUUAUUGGGAAGUAACUAGAAUAUGUAGUGUAGCGGUGAAAUGCUUAGAGAUUACAUGGAAUACCAAUUGCGAAGGCAGGUUACUACCAAUUUAUUGACGCUGAUGGACGAAAGCGUGGGUAGCGAACAGGAUUAGAUACCCCGGUAGUCCCUGUCUCUUAUAC
rnacentral:rRNA from 1 species